UACGUAGGGGGCUAGCGUUGUCCGGAUUUAUUGGGCGUAAAGAGCGCGCAGGCGGUCUGCCAAGUCAGAUGUGAAAGCGGCCGGCUUAACCGGCAAGGGUCAUUUGAAACUGACAGACUAGAGUGCAGCAGAGGAUAGCGGAAUUCCCGGUGUAGUGGUGAAAUGCGUAGAUAUCGGGAGGAACACCAGUGGCGAAGGCGGUUACCUGGAGCUUUGCUGACGCUGAUGCGCGAAAGCGUGGGGAGCGAUCCGG
rnacentral:rRNA from 1 species